UGAGCAGCCUAUAACUUAAACGAAAAGCGAGGAAAAGAACGAAGCCUAUCCGAGCAAUACAUUGCUUCCUCACGGUUUGAAGAAUACAAGAAAUUUAUGAUGUAUAUGCUACCUUGCAGGCUAUCCUCUCAGGAUUUCGUUUUAUUCAGAUUGUACAACCUCAGACGCCACUACACCAGGGUAUACCCAAGUCUGAUAUGAAGAUAUAAGAGAAGGUUGCAAUUACCUCUGCAAAAGUAAUCAACCCUGCCAUGUUCGAUCAUGUGCUGGCUCGAACAUCUGCUUGGCCACAGUAAGUGUUGUUGAGGUUCUCCUUGGUCAUUAGAUUUUCAACUGAAAUUCAUGAACUGUGAAUGUUAAUUGUCUGGUCGUUCUGGUCCCAUGAAAGCAUGCUGAAUCCAAACACUAGGCUCUUUAUUAUUCAACAGAUGCUUAUGUACGUGGUGCCAUUGCUCACAAAUAUAUACUCAUUUUCUUGUUUGUACCAGGUUAAGCACAUUACCAGUGUUCUGCGCCAUUCAGGUCCAUACAAUGAAGACGUACUGAAAGAAUCUGCACGUCAACAAGAUGAUGGAAAUGUAGAAUAGUGAAAGGAACUAGCAGUUUUGUAGUUCAAAUUGCUUGCUACAUAACUGAUCAAGUGUUAGCUGUGCAAAUAUUAUGUCAUAUUGGGUGAUGCUAAUGUAUCAUUAGUACACCAUCUUAUUGUGCUAUCUCAAAUACUCGUGGAAGUGCAUUUUAUUA